GUUAAUCUUGCUGGUCGUGAUAAUUCCUGCAGCAACUUUAAGGCUAUGAAUUCUUUGGAAGACUUAUGACCAAGGCAUAUAAUUACAUUACGUUCAAAUGCAGCAGAAAGCAGUUCGAUUUGAUAAUCACGCGGGCAAAAAACAAACUUUCACAAAAGGCCAGGUUAUUCUUCCUUGUUUGUAGUAUUCUUCUUGGUAUGAACCAACUGAAGCAACAUGACUAUCUGAAGUCCAGGGCAAAAUAAAAUUUAUUAUUACAGUCAAAAUACGAAGAAAGAUUUCAACAUUCAAGAAUCUACACCAUUUGUAAACCGGCUACAAAUUAACUUCAUUUAAAUCAGCUGACUACAAAUGUAAUUGCAAUUGACAUUUUACAUCUAUGCGCAAAAUAAAGACCUGUCUUGAUAUCAGCCUUAACAUCGUUGAUUUUCGGGAUUGAAACGUUUCUUAUGAAGGGCGCUUGUCUUUUUAACAGUCCACCUUCAAAGUGGCUUCAAAUAAAUCACUUCGCAACGGGAAAAGAAUAUAUAUUGUCUAGACAGAGAACGUAAAUGGACGAGAAGGUGCAAAUUGAAUUUUAUAUGAUGCUCGAUAGGACGGCUAACAGAGCUGAAAAAUUCCGAGCAGGGAAUUCACCAUUUUCGGUGGUAUUCCCUGCUAUUUAACAGAAAUGAGAAUUUAUAAUAA